rnacentral:rRNA from 1 species
UACCUGCAGCUCGAGUGGUAACCGCUAUUAUUGGGCCUAAAGCGUCCGUAGCCGGUUUGGUAAAUAUCUGGGUAAAUCGUGAGGCUUAACUUCACGAAUUUCGGAUAGACUGCCAGACUUGGGAUCGGGGGAGGUCAGAGGUACUCCAGGGGUAGCGGUGAAAUGUUGUAAUCCUUGGAGGACCACCGGUAGCGAAGGCGUCUGACUAGAACGAGUCCGACGGUGAGGGACGAAGCCCUGGGGCGCAAACCGGAUUAGAUACCCGGGUAGUCCAGGGUGUAAACGAUGUGGGCUUUGUAUUGGAGGUCCCACGUGGGCGUCCAGUGCAGGAGAGAAGUUGUUAAGCCCACCGCCUGGGAAGUACGGUCGCAAGGCUGAAACUUAAAGGAAUUGGCGGGGGAGCACAGCAACGGGAGGAGCGUGCGGUUU